GGCACGAAUGCAAGCACGACCCAGCUCCAAUUUUGCCAUCGCCAAUGGCUACUUCUGGCAAGUGACCCGAAUGGGAAAGCGACCCACAGCAUCCUAGCUCGCCUGCACGGGGCUUUGAUUGUGACCGAGGAGAAUCGGUUCGGGUUAGGUUCAAGUACAAGGGCGACUGGGACCCUAUCUCGCCAUGGUCGCCACCGUCAAGAACAGCAACGGACGCGAUUUCUUCCCGUGAUUUUGCGAAAGGUUUUUGCCUUUUCCAGCUCAAGACUUGAUUCUUGGAAGAGGGUUUUGGAAAACGACACGCAAGAGCCAUUGGUACGGCCGGCGGAACGCCGUCGUUAACUUGAGCUCGAGUUCAAGCUUUUUUCUUUUCUUUUUUUUUUUCCCGUCAGAAGCUCGAGUUCAGGUUCAAAGGUGGAGAUAGCAUAAGAAAUUUUCAAGCGAGUGAAUAUACAUGGUAGGGUUUCGAGAGAGAGAGGGAGCUUGAAUUGAAAAGUGGAGUGCGCAGGUGACAACGGCGAUGGUAGGUGGCCUUAUAGGGGAAACGUCGAGGAGCCGCCAUGCUUUUGUCCUUUGCGUCUUAGAAAUAUUUUCCUUGUGGCUGUUAAGGAUUAAUAUCUUGAAAACUCACAAAUUGAUAAUAUAUAUAUAUAUAUAUAUAUAUAUAUAUAAUAUUUAUUUUAAAUUAAUAUAUUUGUAAUAAAUUCACCUUUAAUUAAUACACUUAUGAUAAAUUUACCAUCUACUAUCAAAUUACUAAAUUUGAUAAUACGUGACAAAUGACUAGUAUACCAGUUUAGAAUUUUACUCUUCGUAUGUCGUAGUUGUGAUUUUUUGUGGCAUUAAUCUAAUUUAUUUAAUGGAAUAUUUGUCAAAAUGUAUCAUUUUGAGUUUUUUUUGCAAUCGAAUAAAAUUAGUUUUGGAUAAAUUUAUUACAAGUGUAUCAGUUUUUGAUUUUUUUGUGGUCAUUUGGGAUACAUUUAUUACAUGUAUACUCAGAUAAAUUUGUCACGUGUAUAUCAAUUUACGGUUUUUUAAAAUAUUAACUGUAUUGUGAUUCUAUCUUUAAGUUUUUUUAUAUUAAAAGAUUCAUGUCAGCGUGGUUUAAUAAUAAUCAAUUAUAUCUUUAAGUUUUUUAUAUUAAAAGAUUCAUGUCAACGUGGUUUAAUAAUAAUCAAUUCUAUUUUAUAAGUUUUUUAAAUAGAAAAAGUCACGUGAGCAUACUUAAUCACGUCCAGUUGCUGCAUAAGAUUAUGCGGACAAAGAAGAACAGCAGCCAUAUUUGUUCCACCAACAAGAAUAAGUGACUUCCUUUUAAGUAUUUUAAAAGUGAGGUCAUUAAAGUCUCCUAAAAAAAGCACAUGAUUAUGUUUAGAGAUUUUGACCAUUUAUAAACUAACAGUUGUUUUGUAACUACUCUUAUCAAAUCAAAUGACGCAUGGCAUAAAUAGCAUAAAAGCAUUCAAAAUUUAUUUCAAGUUAUUUCAUGAUAUCAUUGAUGCUUAACAAUUAGAAAUUGUGACAUUUUAUGUCAGUUUCAAUAUUUUGUUUUUCAACUCAAUGGGACAAGUUAGCUUAGGCUGACUUGGAUGAGUGAGUAUAGAAAAUUAUGCACGAAUCGUGCCAUCAUAGGAUAGAGCUCAUUCAUAUCUAGUUCUCAAUAUAUCCUUUCAUUAGAUUAUAAUGAGACUAUUUAUAGUUGUCUAGUGUCUAUUCAUAUGUAAGUUUAAACUUUUCGAUUUAACUUUUUAGUACAAUAUCGGAGUCAAGUUUUGUCCUCGCUUAUGGGAAUAUUCGCAUUACUAGUCUAUGAAAUUUUAUUUAACAUUAUGUUUAUGUACCCUCGUGCUACCUAUUAGACCAAUUUCUUUUUUUUAAAGGUUUUUUUUCUUAAUUGUUGAAAGUGUUAAUCCUUUUCCCCACUAGCAAACGAAAACAGUGAGGAUGUAGUUACCGAAGGUCUCGAGAAAAGCUGAGAGUAUAACAGUAAAGACAAGAAGGGGGAAAAGGAGCAGUUGAGAAUUUGUUCCUUUUCCCAACGCUUUGGGAGAAGGGAGAUGGACAGGGGGCAAUGGUACGCGUUUUGAUUCCUUAAUUAUCACUUAAUGUGUGUUAUAGAAGCGUGGACCAAUCAUCAUUUACUUUCGUUGCCAGCUAGGAGAUGGACAGGGGGCAAUGGUAUGCGUUUUGAUUCCUUAAUUAUCACUUUUGAUUCCUUAAUUAUCACUUAAUGUGUGUUAUAGAAGCGUGGACCAAUCAUCAUUUACUUUCGUUGCCAGCUCAUUCAUCUUGCUUCCCUGGACAUGACAACCAAAAUGUGUGUUUGUCGACCUCCCUUUUCGGGCACUCUUAUGUGCAGACGCGUGCGGAGGCUAAUGGCUCGACUAAGUAUUAGGCUUAAUCCGGACUUUCUCAUGUCCAUCAAUUUACGACUUAAUGGUUCGAGUUUUUAACCUACAAGUCAAUUUUAAAUAGGAGUCACAACUAAUCGAUUUGAGGUAGGUCGAUUACAAACCCAAAUGAAAUAUCGAAGGAAAUAUUUCACUCCUGUGCAGCUAGAAAAACUAAGAACGUAGACUUGUAAUGCAUUUUCGACACCUUACCUUGUUUAAAGCCUGAGGUUUGUUGACACCUAAAAUUUUAAAUUAGGUUAUUAAUUUGGCCUUAGUUUCUUUAUUUAUGUAUUUUCCCUUUUUUUUCGGAUAAUAAACAAAACAAAGAAAAACAAAAAACAGCAAGAAAAGCAGAAGCCAGCAGCCCAUUUUUCUCCCUCUUUUCCCCUCCGCAUGGGCCUCUACGGCCCACUUUCCUUCUCCUCCGGCCCAGCCCUUUUCGGUCUUCUUCCUCAUUCGUCCGCUCUGCAACACACGCGCAGAGGGCGCAAUGCCGGAUGAGCGGACGGACGGCAACGCGCGUGAAAAAGGGGGGGCAGCUGGAGGCCUGGCAUCGGAUAAGAACGUGGGAGGGGCAGCUGGCGUCGGAUGGGACGCCGGUUCAACCGGCGGAGGCCGCUUGCCGCACGGGGACCGGCGGUCGAAGCUCCGUCGACCGGCUGCCCCUCGCCUAUAAAUAGGCCCUCGUUUCCGUCAUUGAGAGGGCACGCCGAGAAGGAUCGAAGGCUGUAGAUCCUCGAAACCUCCCACUGAGAGACUUCAGAACGGGGGGCCGAGGACGAGCACGCCGAGAUCCAAGGUCGGCCGGAGAAGCGAGCGCAGAGACGCGCGGAGGAAGGAGAAAGGGAGAGGGAUCGAGGUCGCAACCCUUGGACACCCCAUUGAGAGACUUCAGGGGGGCUGAGGGCUCGCAGCUUCGGAUCUGGGCUUCGCCGGAGUAGAGAGAGAGGGACGCCGGAGAGAGGGGUUUGCGUAAGGUCUCGCCGUCGCCGCCAUCUUCGCCCGUGUCGCGCCGUUGCCAAGUAGGUAUCGCUCUGCCGCCGUCGCCGUUGCCAUCGCUAUAGUUUCCCCCCUCCGCAGUCCAACCCUCGUCACUACCGUCGCUGUCACCGCCGUCGUCGCCGUUGCCGCCACCGUCGCCGUCACCGUCGUCCCCGCUGUUGUGCCUCGGCGCCGCGAUUCGGGAACCCUAGGGUUCCCGAUUUUCCGGGUCGCAACCCCGGGUUGUCGGGUCGGACCCGGAUCGGGAACCGGGUAGGGAUUCCGCAAAUUGCGGGCGCGGCGGAAGACCGGGUCGCGAUUCGGGUCGGAUCCUGGUAGGGUUUCGUCGCGGAGCGGGUCGUGGACCCGGGUCGUCGGGCCGGGCCGGGCGUCCCCAAACCCGGGUUGGAACCAACCCGCGGAUCCGACCCGGGUCGGUUUUAUUUUAUUAUCUUAAUAUAUUAUAAAAAAUAAAAAAAUAAAUAUUUUAUUUUAAAAAAAAAUCAAAAAGUGUUUUAUUUUCAAAAAAAUAAAAAAAAAUGUUUUAAUUUCCAGAAAAUCAAAAAAAUAUUAAAAAAUGUCGAAAAAUGUUUUAUUUUCUAAAAAUCGAGAAAAAUCAAAAAAUAAUUUAUUUUCCAAAAAUAUUUUGAAAAAUAUUAAAAAAUAUUUUAUUUUCCGAAAAAAUAAAAAAAUAAAAAAUAUUCCAUAUUUUCCAAAAAUGCCAAAAAUCCAAAAAAAAUCCAAAAUCUCAUGAAAAAGCCAAAAAAUUCAGAAAAGUCCAAAAAGACUUGUAUUUUCCCAAAAAUACCAAAAAAAAUCCCAAAAAAUCCCUUUUGUGUCCAAAAAAUUAGAAAAAGACCUAGAAAAUGUUUUCCCUCCCAAAAAUGCAUGGAAAAUCCCUCGAACAUCCAAAGAACCUCAGGGUUUAAACAAGAUUAGGUACCGAAAGGGCAUUAGUGAUUAACUAGUGUAAUCAAGUCCCCGAUCCUAAUUUCUCUGGUUACGCAGGAGUGAGUAUUUCUCCCGGUACUUCACUUGGGUUUCUAAUCAACCCACCCCAAAUCGAUUAGUGGCGACUCCGUUUUAAAAAUUGAUUUAUAGGUUAAAAACUCAAACUAUUAAAGUUGUAAAUUGGUGGCUUGGGAGAGUCCGGGCUUAAUAAAUUCAGCCGAGCCAUUAGCCUCCUUAGGCGCCCGUACCCGAUUGCGGGUGCCAAGAAAAAAAGAGGUCGCGACAGCUUGGCGACUCCGCUGGGGACUUUUGAGGACUUAGGCCAUUUUAUCUUUGUUUAAAUGCUUUGCUGACUUGGUUUUUUUUCUUUUAUGCAGGGUAAUAGCUUAAAGUUUUUUAUUAUGUUAAAAUAAAAUGUUUUUGUGAUUAUAAACUGUUGUGCAUGCUUUACUGUUUUAAACACUACACAUGGCACACACAACCCGGCCGCCGAACCUGGGCCGCCAUAGGAUUUCUAGGAUGGUGUUAAGAAAGAUACGACCUUGAACGCGAGACUGCGAUAUAGAGGUUGCCUUUCUUUUCCCCGAAUUUCUUAGCCGAGGUUAAGGGGGUAUGUUGCUAACGCGAGACUGCGACGAGCGGAUAUCCUUUUAAUCUCACCAAGCCUUCUGAGUUAGAAAUCGAGCCGCACGUCCCACGCGCAUGUCUUUGUGCUUGCCAUUUUUCUUUAAAAAGCAAAAGUAAUCCCUUUACUUUUACUCAUUCUUUUUAUUUGGCCCAUGGCAAUUUAGGAUAAGCUUUUUCAAGUCCCAGUUUAUAUGCGAUGGGGAAAGACGAUAACCAGUUCAUUCCUACUCCCAAGGCGGAGCUCUUCAGAUGGUGGGGUCAAUUAGAUCAGUUUGCCCAAGAGCGCGUGAAGGCCAAAGUCGGUCAUCUCCUAUUGUUGAUUCAAAUCACUGUUCGUCCUGAAGUCAUACAAGCCAUGGCACAUUUCUGGUGCUUGAAGACGACUACUUUUAUGUUUGGUGGGUUUGAGCUAACCCCAACUCUGGAAGAUACAGCAUCAUCACUGGAAUGCCUCUCGAGAAAAAGCUUGUUAAGCCAUCGACAGGCUUCCUCCCGUGGCAAGGGUUAGCACGACUUUUAGGAACUGAAAUCCAUGUCAUGAGACAAAUUCUUGAAGGCAACCAUAAUACCUGCCCACUAGAAUUCAUGAAUGCCUGUUUUCAAAAUCAGCCUAUGACCCAAAAAAGCGAGAUUUUCCUCCUGGGCUUUUUUGGGUUCAUCAUUUUCCCCCAUCAAAGAAAUGUCAUAAGUCCUAAGAUGGCAUGGAUAGUUGACCAAAUCUUGAGGGGGCAAAAUUAUGUCAAUAUGAUUUUAACUGAAACAUUCUUGUCCUUUAAUCGUUUUAAAGACAACACGGAGAAAAUUAUGCGAGCCUCUCCUGAAAUUUUACAAGUCUGGUUCUUUUCUCACCUAAGCGAAUUCCAAGGCUUCAUGCGAUCAUCUGGAAUGAAUGACUUCGAAAAUCCAUUACAAAAAUUUAUGGUUUUAGGACCAUACAUUCCCAAUCAAAGCUGUUUAAAUUGGAUAAAUUUCCUAAGAGACCCGGCUCCUGAGGCAUUCCAAUGGUGUGCUGGUUGGUUCUAUGAAAAGAGAGCUCGCUUUGCUUUCAAGCACCGCCAUCCAAUUCCGCUGCUCGGCCUCACCGGUGCUUUUUCCUAUUUCCCACAACGGGUGGCACGACAGUAUGGAGCCCUUCAGGAGAUCCCGCCAUCUUUCAAGAAGAGGACCCCUCCACUUCUCUUCACUCAUCAAAAUUUUGAAUACAUGGUUGACAUUUAUGAAGAAGCAUGGAACAAGUGCCAUCGUAAAAGAAUCGUGGUACCUGAAGGGGUUGAGGGAGAAGAAAAAGCCCACCACGCCUCCAUGUCCUACAUCCACAACCAUCGCAUCCCGAUAAAAUGGAAGCCAUUAGUUCCUCACUCAAUCAGCGAGAGCAGCCAGCACGAGCAAGCAGAGCUCAUGGAGAGGGAUUUGGGAAUGGACUGGAUGCACACCUCAGAGCCAGCCCAAGGAAGCAGGCGUCCUCACAAGAACAAGCUCCCCGUCGCAUAUAAAUUAGCAAUCAUGUGCCCCUUAGUGUUAAUAUUGUGAAGGUUUUGUCCCAUUGUUUAGGGGACUUUUGUUUAAUGUCUAGUAUUUCAUUCUGUCUUUUCAAUUGCAAGUUCUAGAUGUCAGAAGUCUGCGGUCUAUAAAAUCCUAUUUUGAUAAAUAAGAAAGCAGUUAGACCAUUGCCAUGGGUCACUCUUUGUUUACUGUUGUGCUCAUUCAUUGUUUUCAACACAAGCAGGUAAUUAUGAAUCGCCGACCACCAAUUGCUCGUGAAUGGCCUCAUGCAAUAGGACCCGAUCAGAAUGAUGUACAAAAUCGCCUUAUUAACAUUGAAGACGGCGUAGGACAGAUGUCCAUUGUCCUUCAACAACUCUCAAGACAAAUGAAAUCCACUCAAGCUGAGCCCAACUCUAUAGUUGCCUCAAACACCGUCAUGACACCUGCAAAUUUGCCAGAAAAUAGCCAGUACCAUAAACAGUUUGAAAAGAUCAUGAAAAAGUUAAGCCAGCUGCAGGAGCAGAAUCCCAUGGACCUGUCCAAUUACACCGGCAUUGAGAUCCCUGAAAAACUCAAAGCACCUGAAUGUGAAAGGUAUACUGAUACCUCCCGCCCAGAGACCUACUUGCAGGCCUACCUGGUUCGAAGGAUGAUUCAAUCAUACCAAUCGAGCUUGACUAGCCCUGCCUUGCGAUGGUACAUUGUCAGGAAGAUUAGUCUCCUUAAAACUUGGAGGGAACUAAUUCAUGUUUUUCACCAAGAAUAUGAUAUUGACAUCAACCUGACAUAGCCUUGCCUUACGAAAAACUGAUGAUUGCGGAGCACGAGGAACCGUUAGUCGUUGAGAUCGGAGAAGAUCAUGUUAAUGAAGCCUUGCAUGAUAAAUGGGCAGCUGAACAACACCCUGUUAUUGGAAAAUUUCCCACUAGGAAAGGCAAGGAGCCUUUGUACGAGAUCAAAGACAAAGAGCCUGUUCAAGACUGGGGCACGACUGGACGACUCUCCAAGCUUACUCCAAGAGCUAGGGUCCAAAGAAUACCAACCCCUAUCAACUUGGGAAGUGAAUCAGAUAGUGAAACUCCAAUGUCUCUCACUUCCUUUGACAAAAUCGAGUUGGCAAAAUGAAGGGCCUUACUCAAAAGGUCUGGACCAGAAGCCAAGAAAAGAAAGCCUAAGCAAAUCAAUUCAGCAUCUGCCGACGAGCCACCACACCCAAGCUUCGAGCAUUCCCAAGAAUACAGCUUUGAAGGCUACCAUCCCCAAGAAUACAACCCCAAUGACGUCCAGCGUUAUUUCGACAAUGAAACUGACGAUUCAUCGUAUAACUGUUUCCUAGUCUCAUCCGGGGAUGAAGGCCCGUCAGAAGAGGAAGCAUACGUCUUUAUCUGCCACGAUCCUAACGAAGUACUAAGCUCUUCCUCUGACCAUGAGGAUAGCUUCAAUACUUUAUCCUCAUUCGGAAAUUUUGACCAAGAAGAAAGCAAUGGGAUAAUCUCGGUAGAAUCCAACUUCCCUGAAACAGAAAAAUUCACCACUACAACAGAUAUGCAGUGGGAAAACCAGUGGCCUAACCAAGAUACAUCAAGCCCGUCUUGCGCUCAUAGGAUCAUGACCCCUGGAGAGAUGUGGAUACCUAAUCUCCGCAAGUAUAAUGGCACGACUUGCCCCGUGGCCCACUUGCAGUACUUCCAUGCUGAAAUGAGUCAAUACUAUGGCCUGAUGUCAUUCACAACACAGGCCUGCCAAGAGAGCCUUACAGGGUCUGCAUUACAAUGGUUCAUCACAGCAGAUAUCUACCUCAUGAGAGAUUGGAAUGAGCUGUCUUCUGCAUUCCUGCUUCAGUAUCAAAGCCAGAUUGGGAAUGAAGUGUCUUGUCAGAACUUGGUUCACUUCAGAAGAAGAACAAUGGAGGAUUUCCGAGCAUACGCAGGGAGGUGGAGGGCUUUCAUGAUGCAAACCCACCCUCAACUGGCUGAAGAGGAGUUAAUAAAGCAGUUCAUAGAAGUUCUGUCUUGCAAGCAGCGCUGUUGGCUGCAUGGGUUACACUUCCGUAGCUUCAACAAGGUAGUCAUCGCAUGCGAAUACUUCGAGUCUAUUGAAGGCGAGGAAUUCAAAGACGCUUAGCUUCAAGACCAGCACUAUCAAAGCGCUCCUUUACACAGGGGUCUUCAUGAGUUUUACUUGUUUUUAUAAUUUCAUGUUUCUUAUCUUGUCUAGUGUGCUACUAUUGUAUUUUCCAUGCCAAGUAUUCUAUUGUGCAGUUAUAAUAUUUCGUUUUAAGAGCAUGAGGCGGUACUCCAAACCAGCCCGGUGAUGCUAUCCAACCAUGAAAAAAUAUACCAUCCAAGGAGAAUACUGAGGGCUGGGCUUCCUCAUGCUUUUUCUCCCUCGAAUACAUAUUUUGAAAACAAAAAACACUUCAUCACCAAAAUCUUUCAAAAAACAAAAAAAUGAUAAAUUUAAUCAUGUUUGUCUUUCUGACUCACUCACUUCAUGUCUCAGAAGAUCAUUCCCGUCCCCUUUGACUUAGUGCGACAGGGGGCAUUUGAAGCAAGCACAUUAUGUGAACUCAUCGAAUUCAAUGACACCCUGCCAAGAAAGCAGGGGGCAAACAGGAAAGGAUCAUCACGUUUCAAAAUGCUCAAGGCAGGGAUGUCCCGAGUUCAUUGACAGGACUUCCAGCUUCAACGAGCCAAGAAGCACAAAGAAGGAUUUGCUUCUCUUCCUUUAAAGUGAUUACUGUCAACAGGAAGAAAAUCUAGACAGUCAAAGCGAUCUAUAGCCCCACAUCCUAGACAAUGAUGUUGGAAUCUAGAAACUUCACCCCAGACGCGUAAUUGCCAUCAGAAAGCUUGAGACUUUCCAUCUCAGAUUCCAUAGAAGCUUGAGGUACAUGACUUUUGCCCAAUGAUGCUAUAGAAGGAGAAAUUCCAUAGAAGGAAGGCGUUGAAGAUGAAUCAAUGACCAGCAAUCAUGCAUACAUGGUCACAAGUGAGGAAGGCCAAUCGAAAGAAAUGUCAAACUAUGCUAAGACGAAAAGGCUGUCAUCGACAUUCAAACAUCAUCAGGAGUCAGCAAAUACAAACUUUGGAGAAGAGUAAUUUGGUAUCGUUUCCAAUACUCCCCCUUCUUUGAAUUCACUUUUGACAUAUUCCCCCUAUUGACAGGGAGCAUCACAACUCAAGAACCAAACUCAAUGGUUAGGCAAAUCAAUAUUGGCCAAGCUAGUACGUGGAAAUAACCCACAUUAAAUUCACCUGGCUUCGUGUAAAAAGACAUGUCAUCCAGGAGCUAAUUCAGAGAAUAAUUGACCUAAUGAAGCAAGGGACAUAGGACUUCAUGUCCCCCUCUCACUUCAGGUUCACCCAAUCAUCUGCACACCAGUGAAGGGUAAAGUUGUAUCGAUUCCAGUUAUUUGACUCUUGAAAGAGUUCAUGACUAACACAUUCCCUCUUGUUUGUUGCAGGAUCACCCAACUGUCAAAAGCAAGGAUAACGAAUCAAUGAGAAGCAUAUCUUGUUUGUUGCAAGAUUAACUGACUGUCAAAAACAAAGAUAACAAAUCAAUGAGAGGCAUGACAAACUCUCCCAAGCAAAAUGACGUCUCAAGUAUUGCCAAAGCAAAUGACAGAAAAUCUUCAGGCCUCAACUCACAUUUAAUUUUGGCCAAACUAAUUGAUCUACUUGUACAUCUUCUCUUCUGCAGGGGCAAAAGCAGAGAUGCCCGAUCAGAUUCCCAACCCUGACUGAUCAUUCAUGUGUCAUAUUCCUAAUCAAUAGGGACAACCAUCGACGUCCAUUUGCGAAUAACCCUUUUGAUGUUCAAAAUCUAACAUAUUUGGAAACACCAUUAUAUUAGCCCCUAAAGUGGUCAAUAAGAUCUUUUGCGAGUCAAAACCGUUCACUUGUUUUGAAGAGUUCAAACUCCAUCAUAUUCAAAAUGUUGCAUGUCAUUUCCAGAUGAAUUAUGCAUGAUGAUUUCGUCUGUCUAAGUCACUAAUUCCACUGAGGAUUAUCAGAAUAGACAGCUAAGUGAAGAAUACAAGAUUAAUUGAGCAUGCUGGAUGAGGCGUGUCAGAAUGAUGACAGGCAAGCCAUAUCCUACACACAGUCCCCCAUCUAUACACUUGUGAGAUGAGUGCAGAAGAUUCCAUGGCUGCAGGGUAAAGAGUUCUCUCGCGAAUGGUACGAUAACCAAAAUAGUGAGAGGCAUUCCAUUGCUCACCCCAUUGAGCCCAUACAUUGGUGAAGCUCUCUCAUACCCCCGUCAAGAGCAACCCCUACACCGGGACAGAUUAGAAGCGAAGCAGCAUCACAAGGUGAGAAGAGAGAUAGAAAUUUUCUUGCUCGCACUUCCAUCAAUCUUUGGGUGUCUUUAUUGCAUAUGAACACUCACGUUAAUUUAAGUGCCCUAGAGUCAUGAAGAGCAAUUCUUUCUUUACGCACCCGUAUUCAUUGUACAACCCAAGUGAGUCUGUAAUUUUACCCUCACAUCAAGAUAAAGCAAAAUAUAUUAUAGCCUGAGCGCCGGUUGAAGAUGAAGACUCAAGAGUCUAAUAACGGUGCUUCAAUUGAACUUGCCUAGUCCAGUUCCUCUAACGACAAGAAUGAAAAAACAUGGGCAUAAAAAAGCAGUGUACCUGGUAAAAGCAAGGUCAAUGCCCAUAAAAGAAGAACUGGAAUAAAAAUAGGGGCAUGAAAAAGCAGUGUACCUGGUAAAAGCAAGGCCAAUGCCCCCUAGUCAAAAAUACAGCAAGGAAAAAGUUGCUGUUGUGGUCCAUAGAACCUCCAUCUGACAAGAAAGACUAGUGANNNNNNNNNNNNNNNNNNNNNNNNNNNNNNNNNNNNNNNNNNNNNNNNNNNNNNNNNNNNNNNNNNNNNNNNNNNNNNNNNNNNNNNNNNNNNNNNNNNNGUAAAAGUCUCUUCAGACUAGGGGCACUUCAAUUAAUGUAGGAUUUCAUAUGUCUAUAAACAUCGCUCGAAGAAGUACGAGCAAGAUUACUCUAUCUCUUUUCGCAGGGUUCUUGACUUGCAAACCCGGAGAUGAUCGUGCAACAUUUUCGUCCAUCAGCUUCAACCUUGAUGGUCCCAUUUGAUGAACUACUGACCAAGACUUCAUCACAUUUUCAACAAAGACCUCUCACAUUGGUAAAGUUGUACUGUUUGCGAGAAUACUCGGACCCCUGCUGACAUGAUGACAGUGAGAUAGUGUGGUCCUUAUAAAUCCUGCAUCAAUGAUCAGGAUAGCCUUUUCCAUGAGAGUGAGCGGAAAGUCCUUUCAGACUGAAAGUCCCUCAUCUGGCAUGCUCAAGACAUCUACAUUAUAAAAUGAAGGUUGUCUUUCAAAAUCUUCCCCAGUGGAAAUCAAAAGAUGCAGAACUGACAAAAUUAUCAUGCAUGAAUCUCAUUUGAACUCAUGAAUUUAUAGCAUAUACAAUCAUAUGUGCAUAUUAUGCAAAUAGCAAACAUACUCAUAGAGAUCAGAGAUAUUGCCAAGUAAGCAUGUCUCUAUCCCCAUUUGUCUUAAGGUACCUAUCACUGUCCAGGUACUCUCUUAUUGACACUCAACCUAUUUGAGUCGUCCUUUGAGUUUGGGUGCUUACUGCUGUCUAGGUAUCCCCAUUGUCUUUGAGUACCGGCCACCGCUCGGAUACUCCCUUUUCCUAACACUCGACCUGUUCGAGUUGUCCCCAGAGUAUUGAUACUUGUAACUGACCAAGUAUCCUUUUAUCGUUGAAUACCUACUGCUGUCCAAAUAUCAUUUUGUCUUCAAGUAUCGGCCACCGUUCGGAUACUCCCUCUUAUCGACACUCGACCUGUUCGAGUUGUCCCCAGAGUAUUGAUACUUGCGACUGACCAAGUAUCUCUUGGAAUACCUACUGCUAUCUAGGUAUCCUCAUAUUGUCAAGUACCCACCGUUGUCCAGGUACUUCCUUUUCAUGACACUCAACUUGCCCAAGUUGUCUCCAAAUAAUAGCAGUUGUUCAAGCAUUCCACUGCUUUGUGUGCCUACGCCUACCCAGGUAUGCUUUCUUACACUUGGACCAACUGAGUGGUCCCAGGUUGUAUCAUUAAAUACUUGUGUUCAUCCAAGUAUUCCAGUACUUUGUACACCUGUGGCUAUCCAGGUGUUCCACCCCUUUUAAGUGCCUGCGGCCAUCCAGGUAAACCUCGUGCUACAUUCAAGUUUAUGUUACCAGGAGGUGAGAAACCUUCAUGAAUAUCCAAGGUACGUCCUCGAUAUUCCCAAUUACCAGGAGGUGAGAGACCUUCAUGAAUAUGCGAGGCACGUCCUCAAUAUUCCCAAUUACCAGGAGGUGAGAGACCUUCAUGAAUAUCCAAGGUACGUCCUCGAUAUUCCCAAUUACCAGGAGGUGACAGACCUUCACGAAUAUGCGGGGCACGCCCUCGAUAUUCCCAAUUACCAGGAGGUGAGAAACCUUCAUGAAUAUCCCAGGUACGCCCUCGAUAUUCCCAAUUACCAGAAGGUGAGAGACCUUCAUGAAUAUCCAAGGUACGUCCUCAAUAUUCCCAAUUACCAGGAGGUGAGAGACCUUCACGAAUAUGCGGGGCACACCCUCGAUAUUCCCAAUUACCAGGAGGUGAGAAACCUUCAUGAAUAUCUCAGGUACGCCCUCGACAUUCCCAUUACCAGGAAGUGAGAGACCUUCAUGAAUAUGUGAGGCACGUCCUCAAUAUUCUCAAUUACCAGGAGGUGAGAGACCUUCACGUAUAUGCAAGACCCAUCCUCGAUAUUUCCACACGAAUAUCUCAGGUAUGCCUUGAUUCUUCCCAAAUAGUUUGUACCUGUGAUCGUCCAGGUACCCCUUCGAUACUUGUGAUCAUCCAGGUAUCCCCAAAGAGUUUGUACCUGUGGUCGUCCAGGCACCCCUUCGAUACUUGUGAUCAUCCAGGUAUCCCCAAGAGUUUGUACCUGUGAUUGUCCAGGUACCCCUUCGAUACUUGUGAUCAUCCAGGUAUCCCCAAAUAGUCUGUACCCGUGAUCGUCCGGGUACCCCUUCGAUGCUUGUGAUCAUCUAGAUACCCCCAAAGAGUUUGUACCUGUGGUCGUCCAGGUACCCCUUCGAUACUUGUGAUCAUCCAGGUAUCCCCAAGAGUUUGUACCUGUGAUCGUCCAAGUACCCUUUCGAUACUUGUGAUCAUCCAGGUAUCCCCAAAUAGUUUGUACCCGUGAUCGUCCGGGUACCCCUUCGAUGCUUGUGAUCAUCCAGAUACCUCCAAAGAGUUUGUACCUGUGAUCGUCCAGGUACCCCUUCGAUACUUGCAAAUGUCCAGGUAUCCCCCAAGAAUUCAUAAUUAUGAUCAUCCAAAUACCCCUUCAAUGCCUAUGGUCAGCCAAAUACCCAUUUCGACGCCUGUAAAGGCCCAAAUAUCUUUCAUGUUAGUACUUGUGAAUAUCCAGGUACUCUUUGAUAUGCUUGUGAAUGUCCAGGUAUCUUCCAGAAUUGAUGCCCUGAAAAAGGUCAGCGCAUCCUCCCGAGAAAGGUCGGGUUCCAACUAGUGUCUUCCACAGAAGUCAGACGCCCCACAAAUCGAUGCCCUGAAAAAGGUCGGCGCAUCCUCCCGAGAAAGGUCGGGUUCCAACUGGUGUCUUCGACAGAAGUCAGACGCCCCACAAAUCGAUGCCCUGAAAAAGGUCGGCGCAUCCUCCUGAGAAAGGUCGAGUUCCAACUGGUGUCUUCGACAAAAGUCAGACGCCCCACAAAUCGAUGCCCCGAGAAAGGUCGGUGCAUCCUCCCGAGAAAGGUCGGGUUCCAACCAGUGUCUUUGACAGAAGUCAAACACCCCAACAAAACAGAUGCUCUAAGAAAGGUCGGCGCAUCUCCCGAGAAAGGUCGGGUACCAACUGGUGUCCUCGAUACAAAUCAGGCACCCACAAAUGAGAUGCCCUGAGAAAGGUCGGUGCAUCUCCCGUCAAGGCGACCGAAGAAAGGUUCGGGUCCUAGACAAAUCAUUGAUUGUUUUAACAGGCGACCGAAGAAUGGUUCGGGUCCUGGAAGAGCAGUCUCCCGUCACGGCGACCGAAGAAUGGUUCGGGUCCGAGACAAACCACUGAUUACUCCAACAGGCGACCGAAGAAUGGUUCGGGUCCUGGAAGAGCAGUCUCCCGUCAAGGCGACCGAAGAAAGAUUUGGGUCCUAGACAAAUCAUUGAUUGUUUUAACAGGUGACCGAAGAAUGGUUCGAGCCUUGGAAAAGCAAUCUCCUCAUAUCACCAGGUAAGAUGAUGCCUUGAUACUUGCCAAAACUCGGGGUUCACACCCUAUCUCACUCACUCCCGGUAAGUAACUACAGGUAUCUUCUUAUCUGUCUUAGUAUAUGUAAAGUUAUAUUGCUCUUUUCCUACAUAAAAUAAUAGAUCCCAAAUAAAAUAUAAUCUACUGCAUAUGAACGGACAAAAUUUAGGUAUCAGGUUUGUUUUUGAAUGUAACCUCUACGAACUCACCUUCAAAGAUGGGCAGCUGUUGACACCUAAAAUUUUAAAUUAGGUUAUUAAUUUGGCCUUAGUUUCUUUAUUUAUGUAUUUUCCCCUUUUUUUUCGGAUAAUAAACAAAACAAAGAAAAACAAAAAACAGCAAGAAAAGCAGAAGCCAGCAGCCCAUUUUUCUCCCUCUUUUCCCCUCCGCAUGGGCCUUUACGGCCCACUUUCCUUCUCUUCCGGCCCAGCCCUUUUCGGUCUUCUUCCUCAUUCGUCCGCUCUGCAACACACGCGCAGAGGGCGCGAUGCCGGAUGAGCGGACGGACGGCGACGCGCGUGAAAAAGGGGGGGCAGCUGGAGGCCUGGUGUCGGAUAAGAACGUGGGAGGGGCAGCUGGCGUCGGAUGGGACGCCGGUUCAACCGGCGGAGGCCGCUUGCCGCACGGGGACCGGCGGUCGAAGCUCCGUCGACCGGCUGCCCCUCGCCUAUAAAUAGGCCCUCGUUUCCGUCGUUGAGAGGGCACGCCGAGAAGGAUCGAAGGCCGCAGAUCCUCGAAACCUCCCACUGAGAGACUUCAGAACGGGGGGCCGAGGACGAGCACGCCGAGAUCCAAGGUCGGCCGGAGAAGCGAGCGCAGAGACGCGCGGAGGAAGGAGAAAGGGAGAGGGAUCGAGGUCGCGACCCUUGGACACCCCACUGAGAGACUUCAGGAGGGCCGAGGGCUCGCAGCUUCGGAUCUGGGCUUCGCCGGAGUAGAGAGAGAGGGACGCCGGAGAGAGGGGUUCGCGUAAGGUCUCGCCGUCGCCGCCAUCUUCGCCCGUGUCGCGCCGUUGCCAAGCAGGUAUCGCUCUGCCGCCGUCGCCGUUGCCAUCGCCAUAGUUUCCCCCCUCCGCAGUCCAACCCUCGUCACUACCGUCGCUGUCGCCGCCGCCGUCGCCGUUGCCGCCGCCGUCGCCGUCGCCGUCGUCCCCGCUGUUGUGCCUCGGCGCCGCGAUUCGGGAACCCUAGGGUUCCCGAUUUUCCGGGUCGCGACCCCGGGUUGUCGGGUCGGACCCGGAUCGGGAACCGGGUAGGGAUUCCGCAAAUUGCGGGCGCGGCGAAAGACCGGGUCGCGAUUCGGGUCGGAUCCGGGUAGGGUUUCAUCGCGGAGCGGGUCGUGGACCCGGGUCGUCGGGCCGGGCCGAGCGUCCCCAAACGCCCAGCCACGGCGUCGUUUUUAAAAUAAAAAAAGUCGGGCCCACGUAACGGGCCCGUCUGCGUUUUAGGGUUGACCCAGGUCGGAACCAACCCGCGGAUCCGACCCGGGUCGGUUUUAUUUUAUUAUCUUAAUAUAUUAUAAAAAAUAAAAAAUAAAUAUUUUAUUUUAAAAAAAAAAAUCAAAAAGUGUUUUAUUUUCAAAAAAAUAAAAAAAAUGUUUUAAUUUCCAGAAAAUCAAAAAAAUAUUAAAAAAUGUCGAAAAAUGUUUUAUUUUCUAAAAAUCGAGAAAAAUCAAAAAAUAAUUUAUUUUCCAAAAAUAUUUUGAAAAAUAUUAAAAAAUAUUUUAUUUUCCGAAAAAAUAAAAAAUAAAAAAUAUUCCAUAUUUUCCAAAAAUGCCAAAAAUCCAAAAAAAAAUCCAAAAUUUCAUGAAAAAGCCAAAAAAUUCAGAAAAGUCCAAAAAGACUUGUAUUUUCCCAAAAAUACCAAAAAAAAUCCCAAAAAAUCCCUUUUGUGUCCAAAAAAUUAGAAAAAGACCUAGAAAAUGUUUUCCCUCCCAAAAAUGAAUGGAAAAUCUCUCGAACAUCCAAAAAACCUCAGGGUUUAAACAAGAUUAGGUACCGAAAUGGCAUUAGUAAUUAACUAGUGUAAUCAAGUCCCCGAUCCUAAUUUCUCUGGUUACGCAGGAGUGAGUAUUUCUCCCGGUACUUCACUUGGGUUUCUAAUCAACCCACCCCAAAUCGAUUAGUGGCGACUCUGUUUUAAAAAUUGAUUUAUAGGUUAAAAACUCAAACUAUUAAAGUCGUGAAUUGGUGGACUUGGGAGAGUCCGGGCUUAAUAAAUUCAGCCGAGCCAUUAGCCUCCUUAGGCGCCCGUACCCGAUUGCGGGCGCCAAGAAAAAAAGAGGUCGCGACAAGGUUUAAUUUCUUCUUUUUUUGUUUGUUUUGAUUUUCAAGGUUUUUCCAUGCAUUUGUGGAGACAAUUAACCAAAAAUUAUUUUUUUGACUUUUUCUAAUUUUUAUAGAAAAUAUAAAGUUAUUUUAUUUUUUUAUUUUCUGGAAAAACAUACAUAUGAAAAAGAUAAUAAUAAUAUCAGUGACCCAGGCUGGUCAAACCCGCGACUCAAACUGGCGGAUUCCAUGUCCAAGAUAAACCUGAAUCUGUUCAGCACCAGAUUCGUCUCCGGCCCGGCCGACUGCCGAUCGCGCCUCCAAAUGGUUGGAGAAGAUUUCCCUCACUUGAUCUUUCUAUUAUUCUUUUCUCUCUUCCUAUGGUCUUUUUUUUUUUAUAUUGUUUAUAUUCUCUCUCUCACGUUUGUCAGACUAGAUGAGAAAGGAGAGACCCCUUUUGUCCUCUUCCACUUUGGUCUUUUAGGGGGCGCGUGAUAAAAUUUCUACUUCUUUAUUUCUCUGUUUCUCUGUUUUCUGGAACAGGUUUAGAACAGAAAUCCAUUUGGUAACGCAAUUUGAUUUUUCUAUUUUUUGAACAGAUUUCUAUUCUAAAAAUAGAUUUGAAGAAGAAAUCAGAAUCUGAAAUUUUUAACUUCUCAAUAUCUAUUUCAGAAAUUGAGAAAUCCAUUUCUGGCCAGAAAUCGAUUUCUGUUCUAGAAAUUUUGUCAUGCGUACCCUUAUUCCUUAUAUUUUUUUCAUUUUUUCAUUUUUAUGUCUCUCUCGUUUUCUCUCUCUGUUGUCUUGUCCUUUCUCUACUCUACACACGCCAGACUAGGAAAAGAGAUAGGGUUCCCUUAGCCACCCAGCCCGCCUAUUGUCUCCUUUUAUUUUUAUCCUUUCUUUUGAUUUUUUUCCCUUUCUCUCUCCGGUCUCUUCUUCUUCACGCUGCCCCGAGACCGAUCCUCAGCAUCCCAUGAACCCAGAACGAAAAGAAAUAAUAACUAUGAAGGAUCGCUCGAUCCUCAACGACCACCAAUGGCUACUGGAACGCUUUUGUGAACAAUCAUUCGAAAGUAGGGUAAAAUAAGGGUGAAUAAAAUAGAAAAUAAAACUUAGUAAAGGCAAAUAAUAUCAAUAUUUAGGUGAUGCGAACAAUAUUUUUGUUAGGACCAAAUUGGUCCCUAACUUUUUUUAUGAAAUUUUAUCUUAAAAAUUUAGGCAAAAUUUAGGUGUCAACAGUGUUUGGGAUAAAAAAAAUGGGCAUCACAAACUUCAUGUUACACUUAUGACACAAUUAUUUUAAACUUUUUUCUUUGUUGACGUGGCGCGACACAAGUGCUACAUUAAAAAAUUUAAAAGAAAAAUAAAAUCCAAAGUUACUGUUAAUCAAUUGUCUUCGAAAAUUUCAGCCCAACGACCUCGAAUCGUUCAAGACUCUCAAUUCUCAAGCCUCCCUAGGUUACAAGCCCUUAGGUCAAGCUUCAAGCUCAAGUGACCACAAUGGCUAGAUCUGGCUUUGAAGCUCACCGCAGCUAAAUCAUCGUCAAGGGACUUACCCCUCCUCAAACACUUGCCUAGAUAUGAAAUUUCAAAUCUGCGAGCAAGCCGCGAUCACGGGUGAUUAAGCAAGGGCUCACCAGUGUCCUUAGAGGUCUAGGCAACUUUGGGCAUUGAUGGACAAGGGACGUAGGCGUUUUGGCUAGGCAAUCGUGAGCUUGAAGACAAUGAACAAUAACUUUGAAGAUGAUGAAUAGUAACUUCGCGAUAAACAGUAACUUCGAUUUUUUUUCUUUUUUAAUCUUUUUUUUUAUGAUGCCACUCGCCACUUGUCCUUGAAGAUGAAUUAAUAAUGUCACAUCAAAUUUUUAACAACAAUUUUUACCAUAAUCCUAAUAGAGUAUAUAUAUGUCACUCAACUAUAAAUUUAUGAUUUUUGGUGCCACAAAUUUUUUUGGGUAAAUGUGUCAUGAUAGACAUUGCUUACAUAAAUUAAGGUUUUUGUGACUUUUAACCUUUGGAUUACGGUGAUUACUUAUGCAUGUUUAAGACGCAUGAGCAAACAUAAUUAUGGCAAAUUGGAAAUAAGGCCAAAGCAAACAUGUACUUCAUAUCUGAUCAUUAAGGGUACGUAUGGUCACGUUUCUAUUUCCCGUAAUAAUUUUUUUUCAAAAACAUUUUUUUCUAUUUCUGUUCUCAGAAAUAGUUUAUGAGCAUUUAAAAGCGUUAGGUAAGUGAACAAAAUUUCAGUUCCCGGAAGAGAAAUGUGUUUGGUACAAUCUCAAAUAUUUUUGUAACUUAGAAUUUCUUUUAAUUUAUUAAUAAUUUUAUUACAUUGUUCUUUUUCUUUCAUUUCUUUUUUUCUUUUUCUUCUCCUUCCUCUAGUCGGUUGCCAACCUUGGCCAUGGCCGACCUGCGAUCGGCCACCGGUGAGGUCCCCCUGACUCCGGCGACUUCAUCGACUCUCGUCUGGCUAGUCAUGGCUCGGCGAGGCUCGACCUCAUCCUGGCUAGGUGAGGCAACCUUGCCUAGAUCUAGUGAGGCGGACCUCGCUCGACCACCGCGAGGCUCCAGGAGGCCUCGUCGAUGGCCAGCAAGCUCAGGGCGACCUCGCCAGGGGCUAGCAAGGCUUUGGCGAGGUCGUCCGGUUGCCAGCCUCGGUGGGGAAGAAGAGAGAAAGAGAAAGAAAUAAAAUAAAAUAAAAAACUUGUUUCUUGUUUCUUGAGUUAUUCCCGGAAAUAAGAAACAACUUUUUUUUCUUGUUUCUAUUCCAUUCCAAAUCUAUUCUCAGGAACAAAAAAAUUACCAAACGCGUUUUUGUUUUAUUUCUAUUCCAGAUAACAAAAAAACAAAAACAACUCGAAGCAUUACCCAACAAAACCUGAGUGAACGGACUGCAGAGCCCAUCUAUUUUGAGGCUCAAAUUAGAACAACGCAAAAGGAAAAAAAAAAAAAAAAAGUGACUAAAAUGUUUCUAUGGCUGAUAUAUCAUAACCUCCCGAAACCAAAUUGUGCAAUUUUAGGUCAAUUUGAACAUUCUAAUUCAUUAUUUAAAGCCCUUAUUCUUUCUUAGGUUUUUUAUCUUGAACUAAAUUACAAGAAAGCUAAUUUUAAAUUAUAGCGUACUAUGUUUGGAGUCUAAAAAUCUUUCAUUCCUUUUGUGGCUUCGAGCAUGAGAACUUGUAACUUUCGUGUUUGAAUUCAGAGGAUCCAUGCUUUCAUCAAUCUUCAUGUCAUUUGGUUGCUUAACUUGUUUGCACACUAAAUGAAUGCCGCAACUUCUUAGAGUCCCCUCUAAUGCUUGAAACAGUACCAUAAAUUGACUGCAAUAAUUUAGCAAUUUCGAGUCCAAUCCCCACGGCAUUUGCCGUGGAAUGUAUAGAACCCAUAUGUGGUAAAAAUCCCAUGAGGAGAAACAAUCUACACAACCAAAAGUUUCUUGAUGGUCAAAAAACAAAUGGAUCUCGCGCAAAAUACUAAAUUCCUUCUUUUUGUUGAAUCGACAAUAGCAUGAAAGGUUAGGUCGGCUAUGUUAUAGUAUGAUUCCGAAGACACAGGAAACCUUGUGAGUCCUUUCAUGCUUUGACGGACGAACAACUUUGGGGGACUUGAUUCCUGAAUGAUAAACGUCAACUCGAGUCUCUCCAAACAAUCCUUGCCAUGUGGAACAUAUACACUUGAGACACAAACAUGUGCACGAGAAGAGAGAGAGAGAGAGAGAGAGAUCAAUUGACAGCAUACUGUAAUUGCUAGAGCUUUGAUCUUGUAUUAGCUUAUGAUAGCCAAAGAAGUCAACUCUUCUGAGUCAGGGUGAUUUAUCUGGAUUAUCGUAACAUGUGUAAUAAGUCCGCACAUGUUUCAAGCAAUUCACAACCUGUCGCAAGUAAAGAAAUUAUUGUUGGCGGGAGAGCUAGAAUUUUUGGAAACUACAUACAACGUUUAAAAAAAAAAAAAAACUGCUGCAACUUAAUAAAUUGACUAAUGCAAGGCUAACGAAUUUGUUCUCCGACAGAUCUAAAAUUCUCAAUGAGGACCUGCAACUUAAUAAAUUGACCAAUGCAUGUGGUAUGCACUUUGAGGUAGUGAUGUCACUGGAAUUCUCGGUGACACCCAGAAGGCCUCAUGCUCCUUUUGCCUGUUCUUUUUUACUUUAUUGGAUGCAGUCAUCCAGUUCUCUAGCAUUGAGCAUCGGUGUGAUCUGUACUCUGGCUUGUCUCUCUCAAGAGAUCUUGAAUAGCAACAAUUUCCUUUACCAUUUAGGUAACAUUCAUUUAGGUCCCGUGCAAGCUCUGAAUGGUUUUAUCCUUCUUCAGAUGUUUUGAGCUGAUGCAGUGCAGCUUCUUUUUUGGCAAAUAGGAUGACUCUCUAGAUGCUAACUUCUCGUAUACUUAGAUGGGGCGAUUCUUACCCGACCACGGCAUGCAUCUAACCGAGAAUCCCUCUCCGUCUUGUUUCUGAUAUGAUGGUGCAACAAUCUCAAAUCGCUAGGACUUCAAUUUUUUAAAUGCCAUACUCUACCAAAGAUUUUGAUAUAUGUUCCCUGAGGCAUUUACUCGGAGGCUGCUCUUUCUUUUUUUUUUUUUGUUGGUGGCGUCGGAAAGGAGGCUGCUCCAAGGCUUAGGGUUAUCAGAAAUUCUUUUUGGUCAAAUCCAAGCUUUCCCUUCAUUGUGCAUCUUUGAGGUUUUAUGUUGGGAACUUGGGUUACAUGUGGGAGAUGAUAAAUUGAUUUUCUAAAUUUGCUGUCGAUAGUAUCAAGUAUCAACUUGUCCAAAAGAUUUUACUGAUACAUUUGUGCUUUUCUGAUCAGUUGCAAUCUUAAGAGUGGUGCAGAAGCCUAAUAGAUAUUCUGUUAAUUGCUAGUGAGGCCCGUAUGUGCAUGUUGUAAUUAUCCUCCUCUAUCGACUUACAUGAUAAUGUAAGCUUACGAUGGAAGAUACUCUGGGUGUUUAUGGAGCUAGAGAGGGCAAAAGCUCUCUUCAAAAUUCUCCUGUUCCGCAAUUCUCUGUUAUGCAUAUACGUGCACACCUAUGCUUGCAUUUUCUUUUGUUUUAUUUUUAUCGUCUUUUGUAUCUUUAAGUUACCUUAAUUGCUGCUAAUGUACAUGUUCCGUCAUGCGUGACUAGAAUAUUCCGUGUUCCAUUUAGGUAUCGGCUUUCGGUUGGCGCUCAACUUCGGAUCCCGUCCAACGCAUUCUCUUCAGAGCUGGUCGCUGCCUCCUCCACCCAUGGCGGCAGUGGGACGCAAUGGUGGACCAUCCUGUUGAUCCCGAGAAGCAAACUGCUUCCGUCAAAGCAGAUAAUCCACCCCUGAAGAUGCAAAUAUGCUCAAGGCGACGAGACUAGACAGUGAAACUCAGCGGCUGCAAUCUCAGUUGCUUUCACUUUUCUGGAGUUCCCUAAAAAUAUUUUCGCGGAGCGCUUCAGAGAACACAUAGCAAAAGACAUUGGGGAAAGGGACAAUUGAAAAUCUUUCUUUUUCCAAUGAAGUUGCCAACCUUUUGUGAGAAGGAAGAUGGACUGCGCAACCGUACCAGGAUUUAAUUCCUUAAUUAUCAUUUAAUGCCUUGUUAUCUACACGUACACCUUUCGCAGAGUCUCAUUUUCUUCUUUGCCAACUCAAUCAUCUGACUUCGCUUGCAUUCUUGUGACAUGACAGCCAAAGCGUUUUUAUUUAUUUAUUAACAUUUAGGCUCUGUUUUUUUUUUAACUGUUUGUUUAAUGGAAAUAAUUUCUCGAUUAAUGGAAAAAUUUUCCAGCAUUUGAACCGUUUAGAAAAAUUAGUAAAUGAAAAUAGUUUCCUAAUUUAAUGAAAAAAUUAUGCAUAAAUUAGGAAAAUGGUAUGACAAAAAAAAAGGAAAUUUAGAAAAUUGAUUUAAAAAAAAAAUCGAAAAUCAUUAUAAAAUAAUGACUAGAUAUCGAUGUUUGAAUCAUAAAUUCAGUGCUUGGACAUCAGAAUCCUAACACUCAUUCUUAGAUAUUCGUGGCUUGGGCUCAUGGCUUGGGCCUGUGACCCUGGUCCACCCGCCUAGGACUUGGUCCUUGAUGUCCAGAUCGAGGUCACUUGUGCCCUUGCCUAGGUCUAGGUUGGGCCCAAGAACCUGGUGUCGGUGCUUGGGUCUCUAGCGCUCGUGCCUGAGUCCAUUGAAGUCGAGCUUCAGGCCCCAUAGCUGUGCUUGUUACCUCGAUACUAGAGCCGGAUCGAUAAAGACUGAGGGUAGGACCUCAAUACCUAUGCUCGAAUCCCCUAUGCCUUGGCUCAGGUCCAUCAAGGAGUGCUUGGGUCCCUAGUUCCCGUGCACAAAUUCCCUUGUACUUGAAGCUAGGUCCAUCGAGGCUGAGGCCCAAGACCCUAGUGCCGAUGCCCUGGUCCAUCGAGGCUACCCUUGAGUCCCUGGUGCCCAUGACCAAGUCCCUAGCGCUCUUGCUCAAGUCCAUUGUGGCCGAGCUUGGGACUUGGUGGCCCAGUGCAAGUCCACAAAGGCAGGGCUCAAUACCCUAAUGCCUAUGCUUGGAUCCCCCAUGCCUGAGCCUAAGUCCAACAAGAUCGAGGCCCUAGACCCUGGUGUCUGCAUCCAUCAAGGCUAGGCAUGGGACCCCGAUACCUGUGCUUGGGUCUUCAACGCUUGAACUCGUGUCUAUCGAGACCAAGCUUGGGACCCCGGUACCCAUGCUUGGGUCUGGCCUCGAUGGAGCUGAGCUCGGUCAUUGAGUGUCACGCCCCGAACCCUGAGCGCGCGCACAUCUCACUACGGUCGAUCAAAUGCGACAUUCCCAGGUAGUGUCGCCGACCCAUUCAUUUUAUUACGCAUGCGGAAGCGAAACAAAUCCCCUGACAAAAUUUAACUUGGGAUAGAAAAGUAGGCAAUCAAUCACAAUACCAAACACAUAGAUUUAAAUACAACUCUGGACUGUCUACAAAAUAGACCAGCUCGACAAAAGGGGAACCAUCCUAAAACCAACUAGCAGGACACGUUCACUGAUACUUCAAUCUCCACCUUUCCAGACUUAGGGCUUCAGGUCCUCCACGACCGCCAUCUAGGCACCUGAAAUUUUAAUCCCACAACCGGGAUGAGACGAUGUCUCAGCAAGUUCAACCCCCCAAACCCCUAUUAGAAAGAAAAUACACCCCGGGUGGCCUAGCCACGUCACACAGAAGACUUACCUCGUCUUAAUUCCUUCCUGCAGAUUAGCACAAUUUAUAUCACACAAUCUCAGGUAGUAAUAAUAAUUCAAACAAUUGGAAAGCCAUCACUUUCAUAUAAAUCAUAAUCGCACUCAGCACGCAUUCCAAUUAUCAUUCACUGCCACACAAGGGCAUAGCCUACUCGCAGGUCGGCUAUCUACUAACAUUACGGCAUUUCUAGAAGAAUAAAGGUCCCAGUCGGCCUAGCCACUACUGCGACCCGAGCCACGUCACUCUCCUAACAGCUUUUCUAGAAGAACAAAGGUCCAGUCGGCCAAGCCACUACUGCGACCCGAGCCACGUCACUCUCCUGACGGCAUUUCUAUAAGAACAAAGGUUCAGUCGGCCAAGCCACUACUGCGACCCGAGCCACGUCACUCUCCUGACGGCAUUCUAUAAGAACAAAGGUCCAGUCGGCCAAGCCACUACUGCGACCCGAGCCACGUCACUCUCCUGACGGCAUUUCUAUAGAAUAAGGAUCCAGUCGGCCUAGCCACUACUGCGACCCGAGUCUUUCAACCAGCACACAACAAUUAGAUAAUUAAUUGCACCAAUCAUCACUCAAUUUGAAUAUCUAAUCAUCAAAUUCAAAAUCUGAAUACACUGCAGCGAUCAGCACAAAAUUCUGAGAAUUUAGGGUCCCAAAAUAAUUUUCGAAAUUUAUUAAAUAACUAAAUUUAUUCCGAAAAUUAAUAUAAUAAUAAUAUCCAUAUUUUUCACGAUCCACGCUCAAUUUAUAAUAUCCAUUCAUCAAUUUCAAAAUCCGAUUACACCGCAGCGAUCGGCACGAAAUUCUAAGCAAUCGGGGUCAAAAAUAAUUUUUCCAUUUUUUUUAAAUUAAUAUUUUAAUAAUUUCAAAAUAUAAUAUAAUAUUAUAAAUUCCAGAAUUCGAAAUCAUUAAAUAAUUCAAAAGUAAAACCCUAUUAUGUCACAUCAAGGCUUUAUAUUAAAAUAAACAUACUUAACUUUAAACCAAACACACUUUAACUUAAUUAAGCAUCUUAAUAUAAUCAUCAACCAAAUAAACUAAUCUAACCACCUAAACUUACUUAACUUAGACUAAGCACACUUAGGGCAUCAUUAACCGUCUAAUCAAGAUUUAGUGAGCUAAACUCACCGGAUUAGCGAGCCGAGCGGACCAAAACGACGGGGACGACGCGAGGAUCGACUUUCCUCAAAGCGGGCCGAGCAUCCGAGCUCGGGAAGACGGCCAAAACGGGUCAAAACCGGGCUGCCAUACCCAUUUUCUGGGUUGCUGAUCGGGGCCGAGAGGGAGCAGGUCCGGCGCCGGUUCGGGCGGCCAAGGGCGGCGGAGGCAAAGCGAAGCUCCGACGGGCUAAGGCGGGGGCGCACGGCGGCUCACGGUGGCUGAUUCGUGACCUAGGCUGGUCGGACAGCCUCCUAAACGUGAAGACGAGCGAGGACGACGGCGAACGUUGGAAGAGCAGCGGCGCGACGGCAACGAGCGGCGAGCUCCGGUGACGGGCGACGAGCGGCGAAGGAGGCGGACGGCGAGGGGCUGCUUCGGCUUCUUCCUCUGCAAUUUUUCUGGUCUUCGCACACCAACCAUGGAGGAAUCGCACGGGAGAGGAAGAAGAGAGGGAGGAGAGAGAAGAAGGGAGGCCAAUUUCUUUUCCUUUUUCCCUUUUCUUUAAUCCAACAAAUUGGCCCACCACAUGACCUCAUGGGUGACAUCACACUCCACUCACCCAAUCCUCCACAACAUCUUCCAAUGGGUCCAAUUCCAUUUUCCGCCGGGGUCCAAUUCUUGUACACUUAUUUCUCCAAUUCCAUUCAAUUCUCUUCCAAUUGAGUCCAAUUGAAGUUCAUAAAAUUAAUCCAAUGUCACCACACUUCAAUUCAUAUCUUCACUUGACCGUAGAACCAACUUAAGUCCAAAAAGCAAGACUAAUGACGGGCCUACUAAUUUCUCGAGCCAAAAUAGCCAUUCUCGGAUUUAAUUUCUGAAAAAUUCUGAUUACAUGAAAAAUCUUCCGAAGGUAAGUCAAUGAUCUUAAAAUGAUUUGUGACACACCCAGACUUCCAAUUUCUGAAUUCGAUCUCAAUUCCACGGUUAAUUUCACUUUGGCACGAUACUAGCGCGGCCCAACCUACCGGGUAACCUUUAGAGAUUUUCAUGCAUUUGACCUGUGGUUGAUCAUCUCAAGCCACAAUGUACAUCUUUGAAAUAUUGGCGACUUUCGGUUGUCGGGGUAACCUCAAGGUUUCAAAUACGAACACAGGGUACCCAAUCGAUAGAAGUGCCGAUCAACAAGAAUUGUGCGAUCUGGUGGAAUCACCCACACUCGAUCACAUGCCUCUGUCGAAUCAACCUAUCUCCGGUCUCUAAUCGAUUUUUAUUUGUGCCGUAAUGACCCUUGCAGAUUAGCUCGGUCGAAAGGUCGCUUCCUGGUCAAAUUCUCGAGUCUGAUGCAUUAGAAACUCUUAACAGCUUCACCCGAUAGACUAGUUUCCACAUGAGUGGCCAACUCAAGGAAAAGAACUAUAUGCAUGCCAACGAAAUGCCCGUCUCAAUUUAUUGAAAAUAGAAUUGGAAAAUCGGGAUGUCACAUUGAGGACCCAUGCUUGGUCAUCAGGCACCCAGGAAUAGACAACGGCGUCUCGAGGGCAGCCUCAAUGGAUCAGGACUUGAGUGUUGAGGACUUGAGCUCGAGCACUAAGGACCCGAGUCAUCGGGUUCCUCGCUUAGCCCUUGUGGAACCAAGCUCAGGUACUGAGGAUUUGAGCACAAGCACCAGCGCGUCAAGAAGUUGUGCAUCGGCAUCAAAUUCUCAAUUCGGCUUCUAUGGAUGUGAAAUUGGUACCUGCGCUCUUGCUUGGGACCAAAUGGCCUUAAAUGGGUCCCUAGUGCUUGGGUUGGGGUCCAUCAAGGUUGGACUCAGGAUCUUGGUUCCUCGAUCAUCCAUGCGCAAGUCACAAGCACCCCAAUAGUGUAUAUGUAUUUAGGAAACUCAAAUCAGAUUUUCUUGUCCAAAAUUUGUUUUAAAGAUUUUUGUCAAACAUUGAAAAAAGUUGCAAUUUCCCUAGAAAAUAAUUUUCCGAAACAGAAAUAUAACAUUUUUUGUGAAACAAAUAAGGCCUAAAUAUCUAACCCAAAAAAAAAAAAAAACACAGAGCCUAAGUACAUUUGGAGUACCUCGAUGUCUUAUGGUCAUGCCUAUUUGAAAUGUAGUAAUAUCAUAAAAAUUCUGCAGACUGACAUAUUUGCAUCAUAUUUACUUCAAAUUAUUUGUUAUGUCACAAAAAAUUCGAAAUAGAUACAACAUUUGCCUCAAAUUAAUUUUUAUGUUAAAAAAAAUCCAAAAUUAGUGUGCCUCUACCACAUUUAUCCCAAAUAUAUUUUCACGUCACAAAAAAUUAUACACCAGAACGCUGGUGUCAAAUCUACCCUUCCGUAAAUUGGGAAAUUUGUUAAAAUCUGCUAACUUUGCUCUGGUUUCUUCAAAUCUGCGUGUGACGUGAUUGGACGAAGACUCGCAAAAGACAGAUUUCUGCCAAUUGGGAAAUUCUAAUUGUUUGUCCAAAGCCCUUCUUCUUUCUUGGGGAUGGUCGUGACACGGGUCGACAAGAAAAUUUCUGAAUGUUGACUUAGACCACAUAUAUUUGAGGGUAAAGAAAAGCACGUCGGCAAGUUUAUCUUCGCUAUAAGGAGACGCAAUCAAAGCUAUUCAAAAGGGUUUUAACGUAACCCCCUAACUAAAACAACAGCAAAACUAAUUUCAAAUCAUGUUGUGCGGCCUGAAAAUCUUUCCUUUGUUUCGCAGCGUCCGUGUUCAAAUUCAGAGGACUGACGCAUACUUUACCAAAAAAUUGCAACUUUUCAUAGACUUUUUCAGUAUCUAGAUAAUAUCACGUGUCAUAAUUAUUCUUACAUAAUAUACUAAGGCAUACUAGAAGUGAGAUAACUUCGAUUAGACCUAUGACCUACUUCAGUAAAGAGCACCUGACAAUUUGGAGCUCUUUCAUUUUACCCUUCCGCAGUAUAAAUUGACUCUAUGGGUCGGUUGUGUCAACUUUAUGGUUGAUUAAUUCCCGUCCUAUUUGAUAUUAUUCAUAGGGAGAAUUGUUUGUUUCGAUACCCCCUUCAAUACGAUGAUUUGCGGGAAGGGGGAUCCUGUCCAUUGCCAAACUGCUCAGUAGCGCAGCAGUAGCUGCAAAAGAAACUAGCUGAGGAGACUACGAUAAAGAAAUCCACAUCGGUGAUUACGGCUAGAGAUGCUGGAUAUUUUUUGUUUAGUUCACAUGCAGCAUAAUUGAAUCAGACUCGUUCGUUUGCAGAGGCGCCUACUUGACAUUCUCACAAGGUUACCCCAGACGACAUUUUGCUUGUGCUAUCCGCUGCACGGGUAUGCGGUGAUGAAAGUCACGGAUUGCUAGCACAUUGUAUAGAAAUUUUUUGUGAGAUCUGAUCUCGAAACUGUAACUUUAGAGAAAGGCUUGCUUCAUGCUAUCUUUGACGAAGGAGCGCUAUACCACUCUGGAUGAUGCAUAUGCACUUCACUAUGCCUGAGCAUACUGUGAUCCGGAGACCAUGACCGGAACUUCUUGAUCUCGAAAUUGCCCAUGUGAAUAGUAGAAAUGCAAGAGGCUUCACAGUUUUGCACGUCGCUGCGAUGAGGAAAGAGCCAAGGAUUAUAUUGGCUCUCCUCACGAAGGACGCACAGCCUUCUCAUCUCACGCUGGAUGUUAGAAAAGCUCCACCUAUGUAAGAGGCACACAAAAGCUGCAGACUGCUUGGAGUCUGUCGAGCAAGGAAAGCCUUCGCCAAAAGAUAAAAAUUACAGUCAAGAUACUGGAACAAGCCGAACGAAGAGAACCUUAACUUGGAGAAGCAUCCUUUGCUCUUGCUACGGCAGGCGAUCUGCGAAUGAGAUUGUUGUAUCCUGAAAACAGAGGUAAGAUACUUGGAUUCUAUUUGUUCCUCCUCGACUUCAGUGGUCCUUUUUUAAUAUGCAGAUUGAGAAGCCCAGUUUCUUUUCCUCGCAAUACCAUGGUUAUUAAUAAAAGUGCACGUACCUAUGAAGAAUCUGCAUGUCAAUAGCCUCCUUGGAUUAAUUGCUAUCUCCCAAGAAGUUCUUUGUUUACAUAAAUGCUCUUUGCAAGCUCCAGCAUAUUAUUUGUUUAGCGCUCUUAGCGUUCUUUAUGGAGUCAUAGGUGGAAGGUGCAUUGGCAUUGAUCUCAGAUGUUCAUAUCGACAGAGCUGUGGUGCUUUGGAACUCAUUUGCCACUUUCUUCAUGCUAUCAAUGGCCAUCAUCUUACAAAUUUGUGGGGAGUGCAUGUGUGCGAACAAGAGAGAGAGUGACUUCUAAGAUGAGCUUUCUUGAAGCAUAUCUUAUUCAAACAGUCCCUUGUUAUAUAACCACUAGUCUGGUUGAGGCUUCAUUUCUUCCUUUGCAACUUGAAACUUUCUCAAUGAAAAAUUUCCAGUGUCUAGCAUGACAAUGAUCACAUUGAUCAUAUUAGGAUGACAACGAAGAUCUUGCGAGUUAUCCCCCUUUUUAUGGUUUCAUUUAGGUGUUUGCUGAGUUCAAUGUUACCUGCUUAGCCUUUUUAGUUGGGUUCCUAGGUUAAUCCGCGUUAUUUUCCUUGUUAUAUAUCCGCUUGAGUUUUGUGGUGAAUGGAUCAGUUAGCAGCAGAGGCAUCUGCUAACUUAUUUCAGUGCCUCUACCUUUUGCAAGAUAAAUUUUUCAGAUGAGUUGGUCGUUCAUUUCUCAUUUGAAGAACGAUCUAUGUGAUGCUGCUAGCCUCAAAACUAAGAAGCCAUAUCCCAUCUCUGAUUUAACCAAGUUAAAUAGGAUUUGGGAAAUAACUUUCCUUCUUUGCCAAAGGAAAUGAUGCAACUCAAGCAAUUGAUAUGUUGAUGCUAGAGGAAAGUUAAUUCCUGUGUUAAAAGAAAUGGACAAAUUGGGUGAUCUCCAAUCAAGAUGCCCAGAGUUUUUAUGCUACUAGUUGUGACAUUCACGCGUACUUUACAAAAAAAUUGUUCUUGUUUUGUACACACCUGUUUCGGUAUUGUUCAUCGCCCCUCUUUCCUCCUCCAAUCAAUAUUGCUAGGAGGCGUUUGUUGUUACACAGGUGCAAAGCCAAUAGACCAAAAAAGCAAAAAAAAAAAAAAAAAUCACAAAAUAUUCCAAAUUAUUUUUACCUCAAAUUUUUCUUUACGUCAUAAAAAAAAAAAACCCAACAUGAUAUUAUUAAUGGAUUCCAUAGGAAUUUGGAAAGCAUGGGGAUCACAUAAGAAGGAUCCAUCAAAUAAGGGUGAAGAGAGGCAAAUAAAUCAGUUGGAAAUGUCUGAUGUUGACUCAAUUAGAUUAAGGCUCCGUUCGUUUCACGGAAAAUGACUUCCAGGAAAACGUUUUCUAGAUUUUCCAGCGUUCGUUUCACGGAAAAUAAACUAGUUAAGAAAAAUAUUUUCAUUAUUGGAAAAAACAACCUUUAAAAGUGAGAAAAUGUUUUCAACUUUUCAAAAGUGAAAAACAUUUUCUAUAACUUCUUCUACCUUGCUUCUUUUCACCAAACACAUUUUUGUUUUAUUUUUAUGCUUUCUUUUUCUUUUUUUCUUUUAUAUUUUUUCAAAAAUCGAGUUUUUAAUUGUUUUUUGUUUCUUUUUUUUUUCUUUUCUUUCUUUCCUUUCCAUCUUCUUCCUUGGCCUUAGUUGGUCGCUGGCCAUGGUAGCGGCUGGCGACCGGCUACGAGCCAGCUCAAGCCUCGCCCUAGGCCGACGAGGCUUCGCCUAGCCCGAUUUGGCGAAGCCGAGCUCGCCAACAUGGGGUGAAGCUCAGGCCUUGCCAAAUUUGACGAGCUGAGCAAGGCUUGGGCCUCGCUCGAGCUCGCCAAAGGAGCCCGAGCUCUACCGCCAGAUCCAGUGACUCGCGGCUCGCCUGGAUCAGCCGAACCUCGAGCUCGCCGGAUCUAGCGACCGCGUCUUAAUCGGCCACCGAGCAGCCGACCAUUGUCAGGCAUGCGGCGGCGGAGAAAGGAGGAGGAAUGAGGAAGGAUAGGAAAAAAGGAAAAAAAGAAAAAUAAUAAAUAAUAAAAAUUUCGAUUUUUUUAAAAUAAAAAUACUUAAAAAAAAUAUUAAAAAGAUAAAACUAAUUUUUUGGUCAAUUAAAAAUAUAAAAUUAAACUUUUUGAUAAUUUUUUAAAUAAUUAAAUUAGCUAACAAAUGAUGAAAAAUGUUUUUUACUAACACUUAUCUAGUGAGAUCUUGUCAGAAUCUAGUACGAACCCACAAUAUCUGCGAGCGAUUGGUGUGCUCAAAGGGCGUCCCGGAUUGUCAAAAAAAAAAAAAAAGGGCGUCCCGGAUAGAGACGAAAGUCUCUUGAGGCAGGCUUUAACAGGAGGACACCUGCCUAGCUUGGGUGGUCAUUGGUACGAGCCACAUCUUUCUUGUAAUUUAUGUUAGUCCAAGAUGCAAUGAAUGUGGUGGAUAAGCUCUCUCUUCGGAGGACACCUGGCCUAACCUGGGUUGUCAAAGGUCUGUCUCAUUGGAGGGAGAAUCGGCCAGAGCCCAUAGAGCCAGACGGCAGUCUGUUUGUCUAGCGUAUAGAGCAAAUCUAGGUCGAAAAAUCAUCGGCCAGAGCCAGACAGCAGUCUGUCGCAAGGUGCAACAAUUCAAAGUGGGAGUUAGGAUGCCAAACGUCCGAUCUCGUACGACCCCACAAUCCAAAUGGGCUUCAUAAUUUUUUCCCUCAAGCUGUUGUCUUGAAUUCCUUCAUGCCAAGCUUUUUUGCAAUAUCUUCAAAAGUCUCCUUUCCUAUUGCCUAGCUGUAAUCUUGUAGGUACGUAGCCUGGCUUCACAGGUCCUUGUUGCCUCUUAUCUCCGACAGGAUGAUAAUCGAGUUCUACGUAUCUUGUACGGUAAUUGGAAACUUGGUUUUGCUACAGUUUUCGUCGUAAUAUGCCUGGAAAUUCAAAUCAGUAUCUAAUGAUAGAAAAUUUCUCGACCGAUAGGAAAUCUUAAAUGACAAAUGCCCUUCUUUCGGUUUUUCAUAAAUUGAUUCAGCGUGUACAUUGAAAAAUCCUUGAUAAUUUCAACUUUUGAGCUUUAUGGGGAAAUUACUAAGUUUGCUUUACGGCUUUCUCUUCUCCUUUAUAGCAUCUAACGUAUACUUCUUAUUGAUUAAAAAAAAUUUCCAAUUUUAUUUCACGCAAUUUAAAUUUCUAAGAAUCACAAUCUUAAUUAGCAGAAAAAACUUUACAUAAUUCAUCCCGCAUCAUAUCGUAACACUAUUAAACUUUGUAUAAGCUUUAUCCUAUCAUGUUUUAACAUUGUUUCGAGGGAGUAGAACUCCAAUGCUUAAUCGUAUGCCCUUCAUCUAAUCUCCUGUAGUUUCAACCGACUGAAUGAUUACUACCAUUGACUAAAGUAGUGUUCUCACUAAAAAGGUCCAAUUCCGGUGUCCCAUUGGAUGCUUGCAACAAGAGCCCAUGUUGGAUAUAGAGAAUAUAUAGAGUAAUUCUCAGUUGAAAACAUCGGGGCCAGAGCCAGCAGUCUGUUGCGAUGUGUAACACACUUUUCUUGCAAAAAGGAAGGGGAUUUUAUUUACGUUGACUACUUGAUUAAUCUCUAAUUGAAGCUUUUGCUUUAUCUUCUUAUGUGCUAAAUGUGAGACCAGCUCCAAAAAUUUUAACUUUGAGCAUUUGUCACUUCAUGAUAACAUAAAAUAUAGUAAAUAUUUGGGAACCAAGAGACUCCUCACUUGCAUGUAGUUCACUGCCAUGCCAUUAGCAGUGUCUUUUCUCGUAGGGCACAAAUAACGUGCCUCUUCAAUGCAUGAAAGUGAGGAUUAUGUUUGCCUAAUAUGUGUAGGGAUACACAUACAUCAUGCGCACUCUUGUUCUCCCCAUAGGAAGAAUCUGGGAUUAGUACCAUAAAAAAAAUCCUAAAUUACCUCAAAAAAUUCAAACUGAUAUAUCUGUAAUAAAUUGAUAUGGAUUUUCAUGUGAACUUACCAUAUCAGUUGAGUUAAUGCCACGUGUUAUCUAAUUCGAUAAUUUUAUACUAAAAUUUGACAUAAGUUCAUGAAAUGUAUAUAUGUCACGAACGCAUCAGUUUAUGGAGAAUUAUAAAUCAGUUUGGAGUAAUAUCGACUUGGGAUCUUUUAUGAUAUUCAUUCAAAGAAUUUAUUAAGAACGGAAAGGGAUGGUUGAGAAAUUAGCUUUGAAAUGUCUAACGUGAACAUGAGAUGGCCUUAAGAGAGACGUUAAGGGAGUGAUCACCUUUUGGGAACAUAAUGGGGUUGGAGCUUUCAUUUGUCUUGGUCCGUCAUUCGUGGGUUUCCACUUUAUCUCAUCACAUCUUUGUCCAAAUUUGGUAGGAGUCACAUCUGUUAUGUACUGAAAAGGUGCACCAAAUAUGGAUAAUAAUAUCUAUUGGGGCGGGCUUUACGAUGACACCUGGCCUGAUUUCGGUGGUCAAAGUUCGAAUGUGUGCAUUUUUCUUCCUCUUCUCAAUAAUGAGGCAGGAACUUUGAAAUUGAUCCCACUUUUGUCGCAGAUUCUUCAAAAGAUUCGGUAUAUAGCCCUUGGAAUUGGACGUAUUCUCAAAAGAGUCUUGAAAAUAGGCUUCAUUAUAAAUGAAUAACCCUCAGCAUACGCCGGCAAGCAUGUGCAUGACAUGUGACACUUCCCAAGGUCAUGAUCAGCGGACAUUUUCAUCAAGAGGCUUUUUAUUUAUUUAUCUAUUUUUAUUGUCUUUCUCUUUCUUUCUUCAUCUUCCCCACUACAACAUCUUCUUCAUUCUGCUUCACCCCCGUUGUUGACUUCGACACCUUUAUCAGCCUCCCCAGUAUCGAGCUCUUGCGCUUCAUUCCCACGGGUAGACUGUUGUCGGUCUUAGUGACGAACGGGAAGUUUGUUAGGACUUGGAGGUAUCAUGACAAAAUGAAUGCUGAGUGAAGUCUUGAGUACUAGCGUGCUCAAGAAGAAUUGGGCAGCAAUACGUAAGGCGAUUAUCAACAGGAAGUUUGGAUAGACUCAGAGAAUUGCUUAUAAAAGUAGCUCGUUAUAUCGACCGAGGAAAAAAAGAUUUUUUUUUUUCACAUGUUUACACAAUUUGGAUUAGGAGACCUAGAGAUUCCUUUGAUUUAAUUUGUGUGUUAAAAUGAAUAAAUAGCUAAUUUCGGGGCCUAGAAUCUCGAAUUGAAGAUAUGGAGAAAAAUCAAUUUUAUUGUUACCUAUGUUAUUCGAUCAAUUAGAAGAAGAGAUUAUUGACGCAUAUAACUUACUUUAUUUAGGGAAACCUCAUCAUUACCUAGAAAAUUUGAUUAUAUGGACGAUCGGAUUUCACGGUAAUUAUGUUCAUAAAUUCCAACUACUAAUUGAUUUUCUUAGAGAUUCUCUAACGAUUGACUUGGAGGUUGAUGACUAGGGAUGAACGAUUCCAAGUUCUGUGAAGGUUUCACUUGGAAUCUGAAAUCUACCCAUUGGGACAUAUUCCUCAUUUUUUUGGAACUUGGAACCUACCAUGCUUAAUUUAGAAUCUGAAACUUAUUUUGUCAUAAGCUCCAAAGUCGGUUCCAGUUCACCCAGGUUUCACAUCUAUUAUUAAUUAAACGAUUGUAGCGAAUUAUCACUUUUAAUAAUCAUUAUUUUACUACAAUUCACUGACUAUAACUUAUAUUUAGACACACGAAAAAAUUAAAAUAUCAACAAAAUAAAAGUUUCCGUCAUAAAAUAGAAACUCAGAUUAAUGGUUCUAGAUUAUACACUUAUCAUCCAAUGACAUGAAAUACCGUAGAAUCACGCGAAGACAUAAACCAAGAAAAACAUAAAAAUUUGUUCCAAACUCUAGGUUAUAGGUUCUAGGUUCCAUGUUUCACAAAUCUAGAACUUAGAACUUACUCGUCGAAACAGAUUCCUCAAUUUUUGAAACUUGGAACCCACCCUGUAUAUCUUAAAACCUAGAACUGGACAAGUUCUUAUCGGUUUGGUUCUUAAGUUCUAGGUUCUAAUAUGAAAUUAUGCUCACCCCUAUCGAAAACUAUAUAAGAAGAUUAAUACACUUUUAAUAUAAUAUAUAAAACUAAGAAAGUUAUGGUUACCGAUAUAGUCACAUUCUCUCUGUGUUGUGAGCAUGAUCUAUAGUGAUAUACUCUUUUGAGAGUUGUCAUUACUCAUUUCAAUUUGUAAUUUGAAGAGUGUACAAGUAUGUAGGUAGAAAUUGUUUAUUGAUAGCGGGAUCUAUCUAUUUUGAAUAGAAGCAACACGUGUUUCGUAUUAACUACUCACUAAAUUAUCAGUGGACCUCGGCCUAUUGAUUGCUAUUAGUUUGGGAGAAUGGAUAUAGGCUUGGCAUAAACCAAACCACCAUAAAAAUCCGAGUGCAUUGUGUUCUAUUUCUUUACUUAUUUGAUCAUUUAUCUAAUGGAAGUAUCUUGCAUCUUAUAUCAUCUACUAUUCCUGCAUCUAUCAACCUAGAUUGAGUAAUUCCAUGAAAAUUUGUUAUGUUUUGAAAAUAAACUUAUUCACCCGAUCUGGUUGUAUUAUUAGCAUCAACAAAAUGUGCCACAUGAUAAGCACAUGCUCAACGAUCGAUAAUAGUCGGCUAGUAAGCUAGGAGUAAUUUUGAUACUUAGUCACCCACUUUAGAGACUAAUUAAAGAAAGGGUUAAUACCCUAAAAAAACCCCAAACUGGUACACUUGUGACAAAUUUAUCCCAAACUAUUUUUUUUACUAUGAAAAACCCCAAACCAGUACACUUGUGACAAAUUUACCACGACUGACUAUAAAAAAAACCCUAAACCGGUACAUUUAUGACAAUUUUAUUCUAAACUAAUUUAUUCGACCACAAAAAACCCCAAACUGAUAAAUUUGUGACAAAUAUGCCCUCCGCUAAAUUAGAUUAAUACCACAAAAAAAUCACAAAAAUUGUAAAUUGUGACAAACGAUGCAUAAAAUCCUAAAUCGAUAUACUAGUCAACUGUCACGUGUAAUUUAACUUAAUAAUUUGACAAUAAAAUUUAACAAAAACUAACAGAUGUAAAUUUGUCACAAGUGUACCAAUUUGCGGUAAAUUUGUCAAAGGUAUACCAGUUUGGAGUUUUUGGUGGUCAAAAAAAUAGUUUUGAGUAAAUUUAUCACAAGUGUACCAGUUUGAAGUUUUUCAGGGUAUUAACCCUUAAAGAAAAUAUUCACUUUUAGGACUCUUUUAAAAGAACGACCUCAUUUCAUAAGGCUAUUUGAAAUUUUCACGAAAAGCUUUGCCAACCAUUUUGAAGGAUUAAAACUCUAAUGCUAAAGAAUAUGCCUGUGAGAUUUUGCGGGACAAUUACCAACUAUUCUAAAAGCUUAAGCCAUUAGAUAAAAGCAUAGUUUAUUACUUAAAUUAUUCUAACACUCUCUCUCAUGCUUAAAUUGAUCUUUACAUAUUUAAUUGGGAAAGCAAAUAAGGCUUGUAAAGAUAUAAAUUCAGAAUCUCUAACUUUGAUAUCAUAUGAAAUUUUGUGGGACUGUCGUCAAUUAUUCUAAAGGCUUUAAGUUAUUAAAAGAAUGUGUUAUUUACAAUGCUUUCCAUUUGAUCUCCUUUAAUUUUGAGCAGUUUGCAUUAGGUCCUCAUGACUAAGUAGUGUCCUCAUGAAUAAGGUCCAAUCACGAUAUCAACCACAUCCAGCAAUGAUUGGAACAGCUCAUCGGUCAAAUAGAUGAGAAUAGGACUGGUAAAGAGCUCUUUGGCAGGUUAGAGGAGAGUUGAUCUCCAAGUUAAAGGUAGCCCAAGUCAGUCAAUCCAUCAUUUAGUUAGUGGCUAAGGCUUGGUUUCGUGCGGUUCAUUACGCCAAAGCAAAGGCUUUCAAUGAACUAUUGGAGCUAUCGAGAGUACCAAAUGAUGACGGUAACGAAGGUUGCUGACUUUCGAUGGACACGGAGUCAACAAGUUUAGUCGAACAGCGUAAGGAGUCUAGGGUUACAAAAACGUUCGCCAACUUGGAUAGGUCUCCCUUCUUGGCACACUGAAGCUUGCAAUAAGCACACAUAUUAGAUUCACAAGAAGCACAUUGAGUUUAAACAGAAAAGAAAAAAAGAAAGAAACAUUUCUCCCAGUAGAGAAUACAUGGACAUACCUUGUAACUUCUGGUUAGCAUUUGGUAAUGUAAAACAUCUCGGAAAGCUCUUCCCCUAAAAAGUGAACAUGAACUUUUUCGCACUAUAAACGCUUUUAUUUAUACAUAACUGGUAACAACACAAGCGCAGAAAGAAAUAAAAAGUUAGUGCAAACUUGAGAAAAGAACAUUGGGAGGUCUUUGAUACAACGAUGAAAAAGUAAGAAACUACAACAAAUGUACACGAGCAUAUUCCAUUGACCCACCAAAACCUAGUUCAGUGGUUUGGAUUCUUCUUCUUUCCUGUGUCCGGCACAUAUACCUUCAUGCCGUGAAGCGAAUGGUGGCUUCACUCCACUCUCUCUCCAACUAUGCAAAAGCUGCAAUAUGUGAUCUGGGUCACAAAAAACAGCAGCAACAAUGAUUCUGAUGUCCAGCUUAAAAUAACAAAAAGGAACCCAAAAGAGCAAGAAAAUAACAGAAAGGGCAGCGGGGGAGUACAUGGAAAUUUAGGGCAUCAGUCUCACUGCUUGCUCCAUCAGUUCCCUCGUGUACCCAAUCCAUCAAUCAGACCCUCCAGUUCAAGAUAGAUUCCCAUGUCAUUCACUGUCAGGUGGUCUUCUACUUCUAUGUUGUCUGCGUCAUCGCCAGCAACCACGUCUUCCCUGAGGAGUUUCUCGGACAUCUCAUGGAAUACUGAAGACAAAUCAGAGGGACCAGCUCUGGCCAUCUGAUCGGGCGUCUGACCCAGCGAAACUCUGAAAUCUUCAACAUCCAUUGAAGGCCACGGGUUGGGCAUCUGAAUGGUGUCAAAAUCCUCCGGCAUGACCCUAUUUGGCCAAUGCUCCAUCUGUGCCAAAUCAUCACUGAUUCUCAGGCAAUCAACGUUUGGGCUUUGAAUCAUGUGAUCCAUUGAUUCAUUCAAGCAUUUGGUGGCUUCAGCAUCGGGACCAAGCAAUUUGCUUUUCUCGCUGGAUUCACAAGUCUCUAAAUCUCUCUUCUGCCUCUUCUUCUGGAUUAAAUGCUGGACAAAGUUGGGCCUUUUGGCUGCUUUUGUGAGGAAGAGGAAUAUCUGCUGGUUCCUGCACUCGGCAUGGCGAACCCGCUCGGUGACGUGCUCAAUCUCAUGCUGAAAGUUCUCCCGCUCUUCUCUUAGUUUAAGGAUCCUGGUCUUCAACGCUUCCUGGUCCUUCUUAAGCGUUUUGAGUUCCACUUCAUUUUCAGCUUUCUGGUAAUCAGAGGUGACAGUACUACUCGAUGUUUCUCUAUGCUCGUUGGAUCUGCGUCUCCUCUUUAUAUUCUUCAGCAAGUGCUUCUUCCCUUUGUGAAAACCUCGGUUCGCAAACUCCCAUCGAUCUGGAUCGAUCUUCCUAAAACCCUGCGACAUAUUUUGAAUUAUGAUGCAUAAAGAAUAGAAGAUAGGAAGAAUCUACGUCUAUGAGUUCAUAUUGAACCAAAGGCUAAAGAGUAGAAAUAAGCAGAAUGAAGGCCAAGAAAGUUUCAAUGGAAGAUGUGCACAAGGGGUAUUAAUAGGCCAAUAUAGAAAGAACGCGGCUUACAAUGCACGUCAAGGAGAGAUCCUUUACAAUGAUCCAAAUACCAGUACAAAGAGUGUGUGGAAAAUUUUAAGAGUAAAGGCAAACGACUCAAAAUCAAUCCGGACACUACUACAUAUAAUAUGAACACAACAGUGCAGAAUUAUGCUUCUGGCCUUGCCUAAAAAGAAGAAAGGUAUCCGAAGGCUUUAAAGAACACUGGAUAGAAACAAAGCAAUGGCCAAAGGAAACUUAUCCUCGGCUAGAAAGUGCAAAAUGGACAAUUGAAACAGUAAAAUGCAAAAUACUAACCGCUAUAAAGGAACUGCUGUAGUGCAUUUCUGAAUCCAGUAAGAAGAUAAUCUUUAAUGGGUGUUCUGAUAUCACGGUUGGUAGUUUCUGCAAACUACCGUCUAAAGCAUCAUCACUUGAAUAUGAUGACAGACCGAGGGCCUAGUAGGGGCCAUCGUCCACCGGCCACUUGAUGCAAAUUUUUGUGAACAUGUGCCGCGUGAUUCAUGAAAUUUCAUAUAGAAUCUGUGUAUCUCGCCCACCGUUUCAGGUUUCUUGGUUCCUUUUCCCUUAUACUAGGGUAAAGCACAAAUAGUAACCGACAAAAUGGGUUAAAUUGAGUCUCAAUACCUGAGCAAACGUUUUGAGUGGAGUCCCUCGGAGCCUAGCCUAUUGCCCCGGGGACUACCCGCUGGCUGCUGUAAGAAGACCACACUCUCGACGACAUCCAAGAAAAGAACCGGAGUUAAACCAAAACACACACACACAUACAUACUUUAUACACAUCAAUACAGUAGAUAACGACCGCAAGGAAUGAUAUAGGUUUGCUCUUAUCCAAACAUGAAGAAGUACCCACGUAAGUAUUGAGCUGCCUGAUGAAGCUGGAGAAGUUGGAGUGCUUGAAGUAUCGAGGCAGGACCUCCUUGGAGAACUCCUGCUCGUCCCACACCACGAAGCUGUCCCGCCUCAAACCCCACGACACCACCGGGUCUGUCCCCGGGUCCGACACCAUCUCAUACGUCUUCCUCAGGAACGGCGUUGGUCCCGCCUCUCCCAGCCCCUCCAUCGGCUUCGCCACAUCGUCCGCUACUGCCUGCCACGAGCAUGAUGGCAAUAAAAUGGUCGCAUCCCUGGGAUCAGCAAUGGUCGGGACCUCCUCCUCUUCCACUUCCUCUUUGAUCUUCGCCGCCUUCACGGCCAGAGCUGGACAGGGUUCGGGCCGGGUCAGGGACGAAUGCAAGCACGACCGAGCUCCAAUUUUGCCAUCGCCAGUGGCUACUUCUGGCAAGGGACCCGAAUGGGAAAGCGACCCAGAGCAUCCUAGCUCGCCUGCACGGGGCUUUGAUUGUGAUCGAGGAGAAUCGGUUCGGGUUAGGUUCAAGUACAAGGGCGACUGGGACCCUAUCUCGCCAUGGUCGCCACCGUCAAGAACAGCAACGGACGCGAUUUCUUCCCGUGAUUUUGCGAAAGGUUUUGCCUUUUCCAGCUCAAGACUUGAUUCUUGGAAGAAGGUUUUGGAAAACGACACGCAAGAGCCAUUGGUACGGCCGGCGGAAUGAUCG
rnacentral:lncRNA from 1 species